rnacentral:rRNA from 1 species
CAGCCGUAAACAAUGUGCGUUAGGUGUGUCGGUAACCACGCGUUACUGAUGCGCCGAAGAGAAAUCGUGAAACGCACCACCUGGGAAGUACGGUCGCAAGGCUGAAACUUAAAGGAAUUGGGCGGGGGAGCACCACAACAGGUGGAGCCUGCGGUUUAAUUGGAUUCAACGCCGGACAUCUCACCGGAUAAGACAGCUGAAUGAUUGUCAAUCUGAAGGUUUUACAUGACUAGCUGAGAGGUGGUGCAUGGCGUCAGUGACU